UACAGAGGGCUCAAGCGUUGUUCGGAUUCAUUGGGCGUAAAGGGUGCGUAGGUGGCGCUGUAAGUCGGGUGUGAAAUUUCGGAGCUUAACUCCGAAACUGCAUUCGAUACUGCGCGGCUAGAGUGCUGGAGGGGAGACUGGAAUUUACGGUGUAGCAGUGAAAUGCGUAGAUAUCGUAAGGAAGACCAGUGGCGAAGGCGAGUCUCUGGACAGCAACUGACGCUGAGGCACGAAGGCCAGGGGAGCAAACGGG
rnacentral:rRNA from 1 species